rnacentral:rRNA from 1 species
AAACCAACAGGGAUUGCCUUAGUAGCGGCGAGUGAAGCGGCAAAAGCUCAAAUUUGAAAUCUGGCACCUUCGGUGUCCGAGUUGUAAUUUGAAGAUUGUAACCUUGGGGUUGGCUCUUGUCUAUGUUUCUUGGAACAGGACGUCACAGAGGGUGAGAAUCCCGUGCGAUGAGAUGCCCAAUCCUAUGUAAGGUGCUUUCGAAGAGUCGAGUUGUUUGGGAAUGCAGCUCUAAGUGGGUGGUAAAUUCCAUCUAAAGCUAAAUAUUGGCGAGAGACCGAUAGCGAACAAGUACAGUGAUGGAAAGAUGAAAAGAACUUUGAAAAGAGAGUGAAAAAGUACGUGAAAUUGUUGAAAGGGAAGGGUUUGAGAUCAGACUCGAUAUUUUGUGAGCCUUGCCUUCGUGGCGGGGUGACCCGCAGCUUAUCGGGCCAGCAUCGGUUUGGGCGGUAGGAUAAUGGCGUAGGAAUGUGACUUUGCUUCGGUGAAGUGUUAUAGCCUGCGUUGAUGCUGCCUGCCUAGACCGAGGACUG